rnacentral:rRNA from 1 species
UACGAAGGGUGCAAACGUUGCUCGGAAUUACUGGGCGUAAAGCGUGCGCAGGCGGUUUUGUAAGCCAGAUGUGAAAUCCCCGGGCUCAACCUGGGAAUGGCAUUUGGGACUGCAAGGCUGGAGUGCGGCAGAGGAGACUGGAAUUCCUGGUGUAGCAGUGAAAUGCGUAGAUAUCAGGAGGAAUACCGAUGGCGAAGGCAGGUCUCUGGGCUGACACUGACGCUCAUGCACGAAAGCGUGGGGAGCAAACAGG